rnacentral:rRNA from 1 species
UACGUAGGGGGCAAGCGUUGUCCGGAUUUAUUGGGCGUAAAGCGCGCGUAGGCGGCAAGGUAUGUCGUGCGUGAAAUCUCCCGGCUUAACUGGGAGGGCCGUGCGAAACUGCCUGGCUUGAGGUCGGAAGGGAAAGUGGAAUUCCGGGUGUAGUGGUGGAAUACGUAGAUAUCCGGAGGAACACCAGCGGCGAAGGCGGCUUUCUGGUCCG